GUUUUGGGACCAUUCAAAACAGCAUAGCAAGUUAAA
rnacentral:other from 1 species